CAGCCGCCGCGGUAAUACGAAGGGGGCUAGCGUUGCUCGGAAUUACUGGGCGUAAAGGGAGCGUAGGCGGAUCGUUAAGUUGGGGGUGAAAGCCCGGGGCUCAACCUCGGAAUUGCCUUCAAUACUGGCGAUCUUGAGUAUGGAAGAGGUAUGUGGAACUCCGAGUGUAGAGGUGAAAUUCGUAGAUAUUCGGAAGAACACCAGUGGCGAAGGCGACAUACUGGUCCAUUACUGACGCUGAGGCUCGAAAGCGUGGGGAGCAAACAGGAUUAGAUACCCCGGUAGUCCCUGUCUCUUAUAC
rnacentral:rRNA from 1 species